UCGGCGACGAUGUGAUAUGAAAAUAUUAAUUUGUAUUACAUUAUAGAAAUUUGAGUUUUUUGGCUCUGGGGAUAGUAUGAUCGCAAGAUUGAAAAUUAAAGAAAUUGACGGAAGAAUACCACAAGGAGUGGAUUGUGCGGCUUAAUUUGACUCAACGCGAGGUAACUUACCAAUAUUUUAUUAUUUUGAGAGAACGGUUUUUUGUUUGAGAAUGACCGGGA
rnacentral:rRNA from 1 species